rnacentral:rRNA from 1 species
UAAGCGGAGGAAAAGAAACCAACAGGGAUUACCUCAGUAACGGCGAGUGAAGCGGUAACAGCUCAAAUUUGAAAGCUAGCUCUUUUAGGGUUCGCAUUGUAAUUUGUAGAAGAUGCUUCGGGUGUGGCCCCGGUCUAAGUUCCUUGGAACAGGACGUCAUAGAGGGUGAGAAUCCCGUAUGUGACUGGGUGCUUUCGCUCAUGUGAAGCUCUUUCGACGAGUCGAGUUGUUUGGGAAUGCAGCUCAAAAUGGGUGGUAAAUUUCAUCUAAAGCUAAAUAUUGGCCAGAGACCGAUAGCGCACAAGUAGAGUGAUCGAAAGAUGAAAAGCACUUUGGAAAGAGAGUUAAACAGUACGUGAAAUUGUUGAAAGGGAAGCGCUUGCAACCAGACUUGCGCGCUGAUGAUCAUCCGGGCUUCUGUCCGGUGCACUCGUCUGCGCUCAGGCCAGCAUCGGUUUCGGUGGUGGGAUAAAGGCCUUGGGAAUGUAGCUCCUCUCGGGGAGUGUUAUAGCCCUCGGUGCAAUGCCGCCUACCGGGACCGAGGACCGCGCUUCGGCUAGGAUGCUGGCGUAAUGGUUGUAAGCGACCCGUCUUGAAACACGGACCAAGGAGUCUAACAUCUAUGCGAGUGUUUGGGUGUCAAACCCAUACGCGUAAUGAAAGUGAACGGAGGUGAGAACCCUUAAGGGUGCAUCAUCGACCGGUCCUGAUGUCUUCGGAUGGAUCUGAGUAAGAGCAUAGCUGUUGGGACCCGAAAGAUGGUGAACUAUGCGUGAAUAGGGUGAAGCCAGAGGAAACUCUGGUGGAGGCUCGCAGCGGUUCUGACGUGCAAAUCGAUCGUCAAAUUUGCGUAUAGGGGCGAAAGACUAAUCGAACCAUCUAGUAGCUGG